GGAGAAUCUUCUGAACUGGGAUGAGAGUUGACUGAGCCCAAAAGGAUGAGAGGCUCAAGCCCAGAGAGAGAACUAGCUGCAAAACCCAGAAGAUGGCUCCUGUUGUAUGUACCCAUUCGGUACUGGACUCUGGUUCCCACCGCCACCACUUCCUCUGCGAGUCAGACCACACAUGUCUACAACAACUCAUAGUUCAGUGACCUCUAUGCGAAGAGUAGCCUCCCAGUUACAGCACCCCAAAGCCACUAUCCUCUCCUCCAAAAGACUCAUUUCUCCUAUGAUGCCAAUGAGAUGACAAGUAAAUAUUUAAUAACAGCAGUUUCAAAAUCCUAGUUAUUCCCUCCUCUGGGCUUUCCAAGGCAGCCUGUCUACUCUUUGACUUUUCAAAUGUAAGCUUUCCAGGGUAGGGACUCAUCAUUUUGUACCUUGUGUAAGGCUGACACUUACAUGGUUAAUCUGGCCUAAAUCAUCAAGUGAACCAAGCAAACUUUCAGCUGGGACAGGGACUUUAAUUCAACAUCAAAACACACUCCAAAGAAACAUCAAAGGCUGCUAUGCAGGAAUGUCCAAACACAGCACAAGGAAAUAUUAAAGGCAGUGAUGUGGACCUGUCAUUUUCACCCCUUAAAGAUUUUUCCUGCCUAUGCACGGACAAUGGAUGUAUCAGUCUUUUGGGUAGUGGUCUAACAAACUCCUCCCAGUAUAGCAUAGCUCAUCCUUUC